AACGAACGCUGGCGGCAUGCCUAACACAUGCAAGUCGAACGAGACCUUCGGGUCUAGUGGCGCACGGGUGCGUAACGCGUGGGAACCUGCCCUUAGGUUCGGAAUAACUCCCCGAAAGGGGUGCUAAUACCGGAUAAUGUCUUCGGACCAAAGAUUUAUCGCCUUUGGAUGGGCCCGCGUUGGAUUAGCUAGUUGGUAGGGUAAAAGCCUACCAAGGCGACGAUCCAUAGCUGGUCUGAGAGGAUGAUCAGCCACACUGGGACUGAGACACGGCCCAGACUCCUGCGGGAGGCAGCAGGGGGGAAAUUUGGAAAAGGGGCGAAAGCCUGCUCCAGCAAUGCCGGGUGAGUGAUGAAGGCCUUGGGGUUGUAAAGCUCUUUUCCCCGGGAGGAUAAUGACAGUACCGGGAGAAUAAGCCCCGGCUAACUCCGU
rnacentral:rRNA from 1 species